AAAAAAUUCAAAUUUCGUCUAAAAUAGCCAGUAUUAGGUACCAUUUUGAAAACAUCAGAAUAAUCUUCAUUAAUUUUGCCUAAUUUGGCUAAAGAAUUUUCUUCAUAUCUCCAAUGAGAAGGGUGGGGGAAGAUCAUAAAUAAUGCAACUUUUUAAUCGCCCUGUACACAGAUUCUUUAUUAAAAGUAAUUCAAGUGGGUACUCGUUUAAAAGGAAAUUCAAAGGGCUUUCAAAAUAUGCACAUGUUAAUGUCAUUUUGUUUUUAGUGAAGUCGUCAGAGGGCGUUGUUCAACAGAAACUGGGUUUUUAAAGAUUUUCUCUAAAAAGUUAAAUGCAAUGAUAUGAUUUUUUCACUGCGGUUUCGAAGACUUAAAACAUACUAACAAACCAGUGAAAACCGCGUUUCGAUAUCUCUAUUUGUUUUCGAGUAAUUUUAAAAUAACCUAUUUUUCAAAUUUUAAACAUUAUUAGCAAUAUUAGGGCGGUCUUUGUGACAGAAUGUUAUCAAAAAUUACUGAAAAUUAUUUGAAAGCUCAUAAUCAUAUUUCCACUUGAAAAUAUAAUUGGCAAUCGAGAAUCUCCGAAUAUGAUUUAUUAGAGCAUUAUUUAUUAAUUCUAUUUGAAUAUUACUAUUAUAUCAAGAGACCUAUGGAAAUAUAAACAGAAACAAAGGAUUGGAAAAUGUCAUUUAAAGUUACUUAAAUUGACAGUUGUCAGUUUUAAGUUAUUUCUUAUGUGUAAGUGUUUUUUUACUACAAAUUAAUAAGUUUAAAAAUGAAAAUUCCAAAUGAAGUAGCCUAUAAUAUGCUAGCAGUUUAUUUCGAAUGCAAUCAUAACUCAACGGUUGCCUCUCGAAUAUAUGCUAUGCGGUAUCCAGAACAGAGACAUUAUACGAAAAGGACAUUUGCAAGAUUAGCUACUCGGUUGCGAGAAAAUGGCAGUAUCCAUUUACCUCUUAACAGAAGACGUCGCUCUGGACGAUCUGAAGAAAAUAUUGUUAAUGUGCUUGCUUUUAUUGGAUUAUACCCUCACAUAGGAAUAAGGCAUAUUUCAUUGGAUUUGGGCAUUACGAAAUCAACUGUGCAUAACAUUUUAAGAGACCACAGGUUGCAUCCAUAUCAUAUGGUGCUGCAUCAGGAAUUAACAGGAACCGAUUUUGAUAGACCACUUGAUUAUUGUAACUGGUUAAGCAAUAUGAUGGAAGAAGAUCCCCAGUUUGUCUCAAAAAUUCUAUGGACAGACGAGGCAACUUUCACCAGUGUUGGUAGUGUAAAUUUACACAAUAUGCACUAUUGGGCUCCCACAAAUCCCCACUGGAUGAGAGAAGUGCAGUAUCAGGGUCGGUGGUCUGUUAAUGGUGUGGGAUAAUAGGGGGAAGAAUUAUUGGUCCAUACAUUUUUGAAGAGGUUCUCAAUGGACACACCUAUUUAGAUUUUUUACAAGAUCAUUUGCCUGUACUGCUUCAAGACAUCCCAAUUCAAACCCGUGCAAGGAUGUUUUUACAGCAAGAUGCAUGUCCCGUGCAUUUUGCGAUAAAUGUAAGAGAUUUUUUAAAUUUAUGGUUUCCUCAUAGGUGGAUUGGUCGAGGAAGUAUAUUUCCUUGGCCCCCGCGAUCUCCUAUGAUCUGACUUGCCUAGAUUUUUAUUUGUGGGGCAGACUAAAGGAUAUCGUUUACCAAACCAGACCUACAACAUGAGAUGAUAUGAUAGCCAGGAUCAGAAAUGCGGUAACAAGCAUAUCAGUUGCCGAAGUGGAGGCUGCAGUUCACGUUACUUAUCGAAAAGUACGCGACUCUAUUAGUAACGAUGGCGGACACUUCGAACAUCUUGAAAGAAAUUGAUUUAGUUAUAUGUUUUAUUUUUAUUUAUUUUAUAUUUAGUAUUAAUUUGCGCUAUUUGUUAUAAUUGUUUAGUCAGAAGGAUUUUGAAGAUUGAAUAAGAGGUAAACGGAUACUGCCAUUUUCUGCUAACCGAGUAGUUAAUCUUGCAAAUGUCCUUUUCGUAUAAUGUCUCUGUUCUGGAUAUCGCAUAGUAUAUAUAUUAUUCUAGAGGCAUCCGUUGAGUUCUGAGUGCAUUUGAAAUAAACUGUUAUCAAGUCGGGGCAGUUUAAUUUUUGUAACGUUUUUUUUUCAGGUUGAUCGGCGUUGCCAUUCGCCUAAAACGUCUAAUAGGCCAUCUACCGUGAAUCACCCUGUAUAUUAAUGCUACUCGAUAUAUGUGAAAACGCUGAGACAAACUCUUCCACUUCUCCUUUCCGAUUCCGACUUAUCUAAUCUGUCAAUUCCUGCUAAUUCUGAAUCAUUUGUUAAAUUUAUUAUAGGUACUUAUUUUUUACAAUUUGAAAAAUAGGUUAUUUUAAAAUUACUCGAAAACAAAUGGAGAUAUCGAAACGCGGUUUUUACUGGUUUGUUAGUAUGUUUUAUGUCUUCGAAACCGCAGUGAAAAAAUCAUAUCAUUGCAUUUAACUUUUUAGAGAAAAUCUCUAAAAAUCCAGUCUCUGUUAAACAACGCCCUCUGACGACUUCACUGAAAACAAAGUGACAUUGACAGGUGCAUGUUUUGAAAGCCCUUUGAAUUUCCUUUUAAACGAGUACCCACUUGAAUUACUUUUAAUAAAGAAUCUGAGUAAACAGGGCGAUUAAAAAGUUGCAUUAUUUAUGAUCUUCCCCCACCCUUCUCAUUGGAGAUAUGAAGAAAAUUCUUUAGCCAAAUUAAGGCAAAAUUAAUGAAGAUUAUUCUGAUGUUUUCAAAAUGGUACCUAAUACUGGCUAUUUUAGACGAAAUUUGAAUUUUUUGAAAUUACUGUGCAGUUACGUCCUCUUGUGGUAGUCUUAGGAACUUGUAAAUAUUUUCCAGCCAUUUUUUUUGGCCACUUUUCUUAAGAAAUUUUUUUUUUCAGCGCUGUGCGAUGAAUAGUUUUUGAGAUACAGCCGGCGUCCUUUCUUAUUUGGACACCCGGUACAUAAAGUAGGCCGACUUCAGUGUAUAAAAAUGGUUUUUCCAAUUAGAGGACAUAGCUGCAUGGAAUGUGAUCGUAAUAUGGGCUUAAUCAAUUCCAAAGCUUUUGUCGAACUACCUUUCGGUUGGAAUGAUCACAUUCGAAAUGCCCGCGUUAAACCAAGUCUCUUUAAAGUAGUGAGCUGUGAAGAUCAAGAAAUUUUGGAAGCUGGACUGAUCAUUUAACAAACUAUUAUGUAACAAAAUGUCCCUUUGAAACCCGCCCAACCAGAGGACUGCUCAUAAAAAAAGAAGAGCCCAGAAUGAUCGAUCAUCGUGAUUCGUACAAUGGAGGCUUUAUUUCAAGCGUCGUAGUGCCUACAAAAAAAAAACUGGGAACUACCAAAAAAGGAAAAGCAGCCAGAGGCAAAAUUAAAAAAUGCAGACAAUAUAUAGUUGGUAUAUUAGAUCUACCUUCAGGACAAUUUGAACUUCCAAAUUUCAAAUAUGAAAACAGGAUUCCCAUCAAUGCUAAGAAAUACCAAAACCUGCAGGAUUUAAAACGUUUUUGUAGUGUCGAAGCUUAACUUUACUUUGAAAAUUUAAAUGUAACUGAAUAAAAAAUUUUUGGACCUUCAUCUUUUUUUUUUCCUGAUUUUAUGUACAUAACCAUAAUGAAAUUUUUUUCUAGAUGCUUAUGUUAAAAAAUUAGUAGUUUUAAACUCUUUUAGUAAAAACAUAUACAUAAGCCUACCUUUUAAAAAAAAUCUUCCAAAAAGAGUUAAGCUAUAAGAAAAUACAAGGUUUUUAAAUUUAAAAUCUGUUUUGCACAAAACUUUGGAUAUGUAACCCUCAUCCUUUUUCGCCUGUAGUCUUCAUUUGGUAAUAAAAUACUAGGCAUACUUUGUUUCUUCCUUACUAAAACUUUUUGUCCCAUAAUCUGCAUUUUCCCCAAACAAUAGAAUAGUUUUUUUUUGCACUUUAUUUUUUCUAUUUUGCCCUGUAGAUUUUCUAUAAUUACUCGCAUUUUCUGUUAGUUUUCCUCAUAUUUUGCUUUCAUCAUCAAUAAUUUUAAAGAUCAAUAAAUAAAAGUUCUUUUUACACGAUUCGUAGAUAUCCAUGAUUCGUACACAUCCAUAUUUAGAUUUUAAUUCUUAAGAUCUUUAAUUUUUCUAUAUAGUUGCGCACCUGCGCUAUGCCUAGACCACGAUUGUCAUUUACCACUCAGAACAGCUUCUGGUUACCAAGAAGUAUUGUAUUGUUGCAGAAUAUUAUGCAAGGAAAGGUACGGGAAAAAAGGGGAAGAAGAAGACGCUUGUCCUGGUGAAAUAACCUGAAAAAAUGGUAGUUCCGUUGAGUUGUUUAGAGCUGACCGUAGCCGAUCGAUAGUUCUAGCCUGGACACUUAUCCCCGCUUCCAUCGAUACCUCACAACAGAAGCCGAAAUCAUGCGAGGCGACGACCGCAUCGCGAUGGCAAAAAUUCCGCGCUGGGGCACAUAUUUUGCGUUGAUUCGAAAUAAUAUUUUACUGCAGUUAUUAUUGUAGUUUAUAGUAAGAUUAUGCAUUUAAAAUUUUAGUUUUAAAAAGAAUAAAGAUUCGGUAUUUAAAUUAGGUGGGUAAAUUAACAAUUUUAUUUUUAACUUACAUUUUACAAUCUUAAUUUUAUUUAGAAUAAUGCCUACCUCUUGCUGCAUUCCUGUUUAAGCUCAGAAAAAAUUAUAAUGGAUUUUAAAUUUUUUUUUUGUUUUUUUUUUAUUAUCUUCGGAAUCAUUCAAAUUUUUGAUUUUUUAAAUAAGCAACAAAAAUUUAGCGUAGGUACCUACCUAAUUCCGUUUUCGGCAUUAACAUUUUUACGAAAAAGUAAUACAGCAAUGCAAAAACUUUCCCAUAGCAACCAAGAUAACCCACAAAAGUGUCAAGAAUAAGUUUUUGAAAAUUUGUUUUUUUUUCAAUAAUCUUCAAAACUACAUAAAAUAUAAUAUAUAUAUUUUUUAUAUGGCAUAUUCUUUUACAAGUAAAUAAUGUGCAACUUUGGGGUAAAUUAUCCAUUUUCGUAUUUUGAGAAUAGACGAAUUUGAAACACCGUUUAUGUAUAUUUUUCCAAUAAAAUAAAUAAUAAAAAAUAUUUAAAACAUUUAUCAUAUACCUAAAAAUACGUAAUAAUAAAAAAAAUCUAUUAUCUUGUAAAAUGUAAAAUAUUAGGUCCCGCGGUAUCUCCACUUAGUCGUUCCACUGUACGGCGUGCGCCACCAAAUCUCGGCUUCAAUUUUGACGCCACGAAACCAGUGUCACGGCUAGAACUCUCGAUCGGCUACGAGCUGACGCAUCAAAAGUAAGAAUAGCUAUGAUAAUAGCCAACCUUCACUUGAAGAAGAAGAAAGAAAAAGACUGACCUUUGUACAUGUCAAUAAAGACCUUUUUUAUUGAUUCUACUAAAUCUUGGGAUGCAAUAAAACCAAUUUAUUAAAUAUAUACAUAAAAUUUAUUAGAAAAAUCGUUGAAAAUAAAUUAAGAAAUAAAUUUUAUAAAAUAUCAAAAAUAUAACAAAUUUUAACCAUAAAAGAAUUUUUUCGUAAAUAUUCUAAUAUUGCACUUAGUGAUGUAUUUUCAAUACAAUAAAAACGUAAUACUUAUAAUAUGGAUACUAAUAUGUAAAAAGCAGUUUAGAGACUUAAAAAUCUCUAUAAAUAUAAACUUAAAAAUAGCGGAAUAAAUGUCUGAAAUUAAAAAAUAAAAUCUCAAAACGAGUUAAUACUAUUAAGGCCGGACAAUUUAUCUUACAAGAGAUCUAAGCGAAGUAAUGAAUAAAACUCCAUUGUCAACCGAAACAGCACAACUUAAUAAAAUAAUCGUGGUCCCUGUCUAUCGAACACGUUUUUCCUUUAUUCAACGGUAACACUUUUAGCCAAAUUACGCGGGCAAUCGACGUUACAUCCACGUCUGACCGCGAUAUGGAAUGACAACAAUUGCAUCGGAAUGACAGUUAAAAUUCCUUGUAAACAAUCGACAGUUUUUGGCACGGCCAAGUGCUGAUUGGCCAGAGACAUUGUUUCGGUGUCGCCCUCCUCACAAAUCAGGAUUGGAUUGCCAUCACGGGAUUUUACCUAAGAAAAAUUUGUUAUUAACAGUAGUCUUCAUUUAUUAGAAAAUUACUUGUAUGUAGAAAAAAAAACAAUACUAAAGAUAUAUGAUCAGACAAUUUUUAUUAUUAUUGGUUUUUCAUUCACUUGACUUUGCUUGGGAGAAAAUAAAGAUUCGUACACAAUUUGAAGUACAAACAAGGUUUUCUCCAUUUAAAAAUUAUUUUAUUUCUGAAACCAUAGAAGUACAUGUAUUGGUAAAACUGGACUACUGACGGCCGAUUUUUGAAGAAUUGUAAACAAAUGCAUGCAAAAAAAGAACAAAGAUAAAAAAUGUUUAUGUUGAUAUAAUAACUUUUUCUCCAUUUAGAAUUUCAUGAGUUUUACUUCAGUAAGUUCCGAUAUUUGACGUGAUUUUAAUUUUAUAUAUUGAUUUCUUGCAAAAUGAAUCUGCCGCAACGAGAAAACCGCAAUUUGUCAGAAGCUGACUGUCUGAGAGUUGUUGCUGUCUGAGACUGUCUGAUUUCUACGAAUUCAUGUCUUCAGACAACGGUUUGUGACUAGCACUUCUUCACAAAAUGAGUUCCUGGACCGUUACAUCUUUAGAUAGUCAAGAAAGUGUAGUCAAAAAAUUGUCCGAAUAGUAGGCAAUUUUUUAUGGUCUGGUUAGUUAUACAGGGUGAUUCAAAAGUAAGCGGCAUCCUUUCAGGGGCGUAAUCCUUGUAUGAAAAUAGGGCAAAAAGUUCAUACUAAUAUACAAAUUUAAAUUUAAAAUUAAAUUUAAUUCUAAAGGGUUUUAAAGUUAUAGAGAAAAAAUUGUCUUCAAGGGGUCCUAUUCAAAGGGGCGUAGCUCCCUUAGGAAGCAAUUUCGAACCCAUAUUAAUAUGAACUUUUUGCCUUAUUUUCAUACAAGGAUUACGCCCCUGAAAGGAUGCUGCUUACUUUUAAAUCACCCUGUAUAGGAUAGCAAGAACAUAACUAUAUCUACCUGUUGAGAAAGGUGGGCUUAACUUAAUAAUUGUUGAAUAUAAAGCAAAGGCUUUAUUUAUUAAAAAUCAUAUAACUCAUGGACUAAGAAAAAUCGCGGUAUUAUACAGGGUGUUCCGUUGAUCAUGUUACGAACUUCUAGGGCAGAUAGAAAACGUCAAAAGAAAAAAAAAAGUUCAUAUAAACAUGAGUCCGGAAAAGCUUCCUCAGGGAGCUAGAGCUUUUUGAAAAUAACCUUUAAAAACUAGUUUUUUUUUAAUAGCUCCGGAACUACUUUAGCUACCGCAACCAAUUUUGGGAGGUAAAUUAUUGUUAGUACGUUUAUUCUUUUGAACCUACUAAAAAAAUAUUUACCAGGGGCUUCAGAAUCAGGUAAAUAUUUUUUUUAUUUAGUAGGUUCAAAAGAAUAAAUUGUUUUAUAAAUAUAAAUGUUAAAAUUAAAUAAUUAGUCAAAAUGGCUUAAAAAUCAAAAUUUUUAAUAUUAUAUGUUAUAUUUAUUUAUUUUUUGUAAAAAAAAAACAAUUCUCGAGUUAUCUCGUGGUCGGGCGUCUCCGAGCAGAAGUUUCUUGCAGCGCCCAACCACGAGAUAACUCGUUAGGCGGAGAGAUGGUAAACACGUGGCGGCACAACCUUUGUCGCUCGCAGAAGCAGUUAGUUUAGUAUAAGCACAGACUUCAAGUGAAAGUGAUCAGGAUCAAAUCCAGCCACCCGAAGAAUCACAUUUAGAUCCUGAGUGGGUUGACAUUGCGGACGAGCACAUUGAAGACGAGCUACCAGAAGUGCCAGACUUAGACGCAGAGUGGGUUGACAUUGAGGAGGAGCCACCACAUUUUGAUUUUUUGGUAAAUGAUGUUGGAUUUAUGUCUUAAGAACCAGUAACGAUAAAAUAUCUUGUAAAUUUAUUCUUUUCUAAUGAGUUUUUAAGCUAUUUGGCACAACAAACAAAUUUGUAUGCGACCCAGGAGAUCGCAAAACACCCUUUGACAAGGUCCUCCAGAUUGAUCAGAUGGGUCGAAACCUCAAAUGAACUGCAAAUAUUUUUCGGUCUUCUUUUACAUAUGGGUCCAUGUAGCUUCCCAUCUAUUGAGAUUAUUGGUCUCAACAUAUGUACAAGAUGCCCUUUUGGCGCCAGGUUAUGAGCAGAAAUCGGUUCCAGUUACUGUUGCGUUUUUUGCAUUUCGCUGGCAAUUCGGGAGUGACUGAAGAUCGUUUAUUUAAGAUUAGACCAGUCCUUGAUCAUUUCAACAAAAUAAUGCAGGAUCACUAUGUUCCAGACAAAAACUUAUGCAUUGAUGAAUCAAUGGUCUUAUGGCGUGGCAGGCUUAUUUUUAGACAAUAUAUAAAAAUAAAAAGCAUAAGUACUGGGUAAAAUUAUAUGAACUAUGCUAAUCCGCUGGCAUGGUUCUAAAAAUAAAAGUAUAUUGCGGGAAAUCAGAAGCUAUCGAGAAUGAUUUGGGGCAUGCUGCAAGUGUGGUUCUUCACUUAAUGGAAAAUUAUUUAGACAAGGGUUAUGUACUCUAUACUGAUAAUUUUUAUAAUUCAGUAGGCUUAACUAAUAACAUGACAGCGAAAAAAACAUAUAUUUGUGGCACCUUACGCGGUAAUCGAAAGGGAAAUCCAAAGUAUGUCGUUUCAGAAAAGCUAAAAAAAGGCGAAUGUAUAUGGCAAAGACGCAAAUCAGUAGUUGUUUGCAAGUGGAAGGACAAGCGAGAGGUAUUGACGAUUUCAAAUAUGCACAAAGUACAAAUGAUUGAAGUGCGCAACAGGAACGGAAAAGUUUCUGUGAAACCUAAUAUAAUAAAGGACUACAAUGCAGGAAUGUCAGGUAUCAACCAGUCCGAUCAAAUGCUAUACUUGGGUUACCGAACAGAUGAAGUGGUCACGUGAUCGUUCUGCGCCGGAGGUGUGGCCUAGAGCCUCGAUAGGGUUCAUGACUUGGGGUUUUAUUUAAUUUUAUUAGUCGAGCGGCUUUAGAUCGUUUUGGUUGAAUUUUCUGCUAUUCGAAUAUUUGAAUCUUCGCAAUAUUGAAAAGUUAAGAUUGUGUUUAUCUUUUUGUUAAUUUGUUUGUUAACAAAUAAUGGCUGACGCGCCACGUACACCCCCAUUGUCACCCCCCAAGAAAAGAGUACGAAAACAUUGCUGAAAAGGAAGUGAUUAUGAACAUAUAUAAAACAUGUGAUAAUGAGCAUCCAGCAUACAACAAAGUGCAAAAAGUCCAGUUCACAGCAGAAGCAGCACGUAAUAAAUAUUUUUAAUAUACAGUGUGUCCCAGGAUGAGCGAAUUUAUACGUGAAAAUGACAAAAAAUGCUGUGGUUAAAAUUUGACCGUUUGGCAUCCAGCCUUGCUUGAUUACAAAAUAAAAUUUAGUAUAUUAUUAUUAUUUUUAAAUCAAGCUUGCCUUGAUACGAAGCAAAGCUGUACGAUAAAAUAAUUUAAAAUAAGUAGGCAUAAUGCUCCUCGUCUAAAUCUGCCAAGGUUGCAUCGAUGGGCGGGCCUAUAUUUUGCGCACAUCAUUUACUCAAUCUGUUCGGCAAUCCGACUAUAAGUUACUAUAGCGCACUAAGAAAAACCAUUAGAUGGCCGAAAAAGAUUGCAUUGCAUAUUCUCGAAAUAUAUAUACAUAACGCUUACUUGCUGUUUCGUAAAUCGACCGGAAGCAGAAUAAAAUCUUUAAAAUUUACUCUUCUCGGUAAUAAAAUGCCAGCAGCGUACAACAGCGGGAUUUUAACUAUUUGGAAGGUAUACCACCAACCGAAAGAAAAUAACGACCUACAAGAGAUUGCCGUGUAUGUGCUUCGAAUAAACUUCGACGAGAAAUACGUUAUUUCUGUACUGUCUGUGAAGAAAAACCAGCCUUAUGUGUGGAAAAUUGCUUCAAGGACCACCUCAAUUAAAAAUGACUAAACAAGAUUUUUUAGACAAUUUUUUUUUGUAAACUUCAUAUUAUUAUCUUAACUAUCUGUAAACACUAGCAAUUAAGUUUCCCUAUUUUUAAGGCACAGUUUAUGUUUUCCGCUUUUUGUUAGAACUAAAAACAUUUUUAAUUUUUUUUUGUGUCACUGCAUUUUGCUUCCUCUGUACUAAACAAGAUGAAAAUAUAAUUUAAAAAUAA